AAACUCAAAGGAAUUGACGGGGGCCCGCACAAGCAGUGGAGCGUGAGGUUUAAUUCGAAGCAACGCGAAGAACCUUACCAGGCCUUGACACCCAAUGAACUUUCCAGAGAUGGAUUGGUGCCUUCGGGAACAUUGAGACAGGUGCUGCAUGGCUGUCGUCAGCUCGUGUCGUGAGAUGUUGGGUUAAGUCCCGUAACGAGCGCAACCCUUGUCCUUAGUUACCAGCACGUAAUGGUGGGCACUCUAAGGAGACUGCCGGUGACAAACCGGAGGAAGGUGGGGAU
rnacentral:rRNA from 1 species